rnacentral:lncRNA from 1 species
AAGUCAUCCCUCUGUUCUCCAGGACAUGGAGCCUGGAGUUUUAGAGCAUUGAGCCUGUGAGCACACUCACCUUGCAUUUAAUCAUAAAAUAAAUUGUUUAUUUUAUAAUUAGACGUUGGGGAAAAUGAAAACCUCACAGCAACCGUAAGAACCUGAAAUAUGGACUUAACCCUGCACUCAUUGGGUUGGCAAAAAUUCACACAGCUCAUUAUAUUUAGAGCACGUGACCAAACAAACCCACGAAAGUAUCAAAUAAUUGUCUACGAUCAACUUUAGAUGUAUAAUUCCUCCUGUGUGCCUCCUACCUCAUGGUAUCAUCAUCCUUUACUAGAGAUCUACAACUGCUAAAGCUGCUCCUGCUGCUGUUAUUUGCUCUCAUCACAGUUCAUAGGAGAACCCGGAGCUUCUGUGAUGCCUGCUGGCUCCUCCCUCCACUCCUGCUCUUUGUGUCUACAACCAGCCUUGAACCUCUCCUCACUCUCUCUCUCAAUGGUUAGUGAGUUAAUUUUAAAAUAAUUUCUUCAGUUAUUUAACAAUAAAAUACUUCCUUAACCCUAUCCUGGAAAACA